rnacentral:rRNA from 1 species
CCUACGGGUGGCAGCAGUGAGGAAUAUUGGUCAAUGGUCGGAAGUCUGAACCAGCCACGCCGCGUGGGGGAAGAAGGUUCUCGGUAUCGUAAGCCUCUUUUGUCCGGGAGCAAACUCUGGUUCGCGUACCCGGAUGAACGUACCUGACGAAUAAGCAUCGGCUAACUCCGUGCCAGCAGCCGCGGUAAUACGGAGGAUUCAAGCGUUAUCCGGAUUUCAUGGGGUUAAAGGGUGCGUGGGCGGGCUUUUAAGUUAGCGGUUAAAGCCCGGGGCGCAACCUCGGAAUUGCCUUUGAAACUGGCCGGCUGGAGAGGAGGAGAGGUAGGCGGAAUG